UAAUACGUAGGGGGCGAGCGUUGUCCGGAUUUAUUGGGCGUAAAGGGCCCGCAGGUGGUUUCGUGCGUCGCGCGUGAAAUACCCCGGCUCAACUGGGGAGUGUCGUGCGAUACGGCGAGACUGGAGGCCAGUAGGGGGAUGCGGAAUUCCGGGUGUAGUGGUGGAAUGCGUAGAGAUCCGGAGGAACACCAGCGGCGAAGGCGGCAUCCUGGACUGGUCCUGACACUCAGGGGCGAAAGCGUGGGGAGCGAUCCGGAUUAGAUACCCGGGUAGUCCACGCCGUAAACGAUGAGUACUAGGUGUCGGGGGUAUCGACCCCCUCGGUGCCGAAGCCAACGCGAUAAGUACUCCGCCUGGGGACUACGGCCGCAAGGCUA
rnacentral:rRNA from 1 species